rnacentral:lncRNA from 1 species
AUGGGGCUUUUUGCAAAGUGGAUAUUGGCAGUUGACCAGAUCUGGAGACAGCAGACAUGGAUCUGUGAGAAACAUCACUACCGCAUAUCUGGUACAUAUGGCCUCCCAGACCCCAGGAGCCUGCAGCCUGCAUUUCCAAGAGGCCACUGCAGAGACUUCCACAGCACCUCUGUUUGUCUAAUGACAUGGGCACCAGAUUCCACACUUAUUUCACAUUCAGCAGUACAGCUCUGCACACAGAAAGCCUGUAGCAGUGUGGAACCCAUAUGA